UGAAAUCUCCGAAGAGAUCAUUCAAACUCUCGAAGUCGUGUUUUUCAAUCUGGGUUUUCAAAUAGGAAAUUGAAGCCUGUCUAGUUUAGAUCUAUCCAUUCGCAGUCAAGAUCGACCAAGAUGAGCAGAUGUAGAUUCUUUGAGGUCCAACGAUGAAGGUGGUUUCGGGAGCGUGAUCUGGGUUCAAAUAGAAAGUGUUGUUAGCGGGAGCGGGGGGAGCCUAUCGAAGCCGCAAAUCUCAAAAUCAAGAAACAUCGAAAAUUCCGGUGGCGGAGGAGCCGACGAAGAUUGCGUCCAACAUCAACUACCACGCGAAUUUCAAGUUCGAGCCGGAGCAAGCCUACUACGCCACCAUCGAGUGCGUCUGAUCCAGAAUUGGAACGAGACGUACCUGCAUUUCCACAACAUGAAUCCGAAGCAUACUUACUACUUAAUUGUCUUUAAAGUAUCUUCAAGGACGAGCCUUGACCAAUGCUACUGGGAAGCUUUGAACAAGCUGGCAUAAGGGAGCAGAUAAUCUAGGAGUUUCGUAGUGGCCUUAAAAUUUUCAUUUUAAUGAAAAAGAUGUUGCGCUUGGGAAUGGUGGCCUGGGAAGGCUUGCUUCAUGCUUUCUAAAGUCUAUGGCGACAUUGAAUUUGUCGGCUUGGGGAUAUAGUUUGAGGUACAGAUA